rnacentral:rRNA from 1 species
GGAAUUUUGGACAAUGGGCGCAAGCCUGAUCCAGCAAUGCCGCGUGAGUGAAGAAGGCCUUCGGGUUGUAAAGCUCUUUUGUCAGGGAAGAAACGGGAGUGGCUAAUAUCCAAUCCUAAUGACGGUACCUGAAGAAUAAGCACCGGCUAACUACGUGCCAGCAGCCGCGGUAAUACGUAGGGUGCAAGCGUUAAUCGGAAUUACUGGGCGUAAAGCGUGCGCAGGCGGUUUUGUAAGUCUGACGUGAAAUCCCCGGGCUCAACCUGGGAAUUGCGUUGGAGACUGCAAGGCUAGAAUCUGGCAGAGGGGGGUAGAAUUCCACGUGUAGCAGUGAAAUGCGUAGAGAUGUGGAGGAACACCGAUGGCGAAGGCAGCCCCCUGGGUCAAGAUUGACGCUCAUGCACGAAAGCGUGGGGAGCAAACAGGAUUAGAUACCCCAG